rnacentral:rRNA from 1 species
CACCAGACUCCUACGGGAGGCAGCAGUGGGGAAUAUUGCACAAUGGGGGAAACCCUGAUGCAGCGACGCCGCGUGAGUGAAGAAGUAUUUCGGUAUGUAAAGCUCUAUCAGCAGGGAAGAAAAUGACGGUACCUGACUAAGAAGCCCCGGCUAACUACGUGCCAGCAGCCGCGGUAAUACGUAGGGGGCAAGCGUUAUCCGGAUUUACUGGGUGUAAAGGGAGCGCAGGCGGCGCGGCAAGUCUGAUGUGAAAGCCCGGGGCUCAACCCCGGGACUGCAUUGGAAACUGUCGCGCUCGAGUGUCGGAGAGGUAAGUGGAAUUCCUAGUGUAGCGGUGAAAUGCGUAGAUAUUAGGAGGAACACCAGUGGCGAAGGCGGCUUACUGGGCGACAACUGACGCUGAGGCUCGAAAGCGUGGGGAGCAAACAGGAUUAGAUACCCCUGUA